rnacentral:rRNA from 1 species
UACGAAGGGUGCAAACGUUGCUCGGAAUUAUUGGGCGUAAAGAGCUCGUAGGCGGUUCGUCGCGUCGGCUGUGAAAUCCCGAGGCUCAACCUCGGGUCUGCAGUCGAUACGGGCGGACUGGAGUACUGCAGGGGAGACUGGAAUUCCUGGUGUAGCGGUGAAAUGCGCAGAUAUCAGGAGGAACACCGGUGGCGAAGGCGGGUCUCUGGGCAGUUACUGACGCUGAGGAGCGAAAGCGUGGGGAGCGAACAGG